rnacentral:rRNA from 1 species
UGGGAACGUACCUUUUGGUUCGGAACAACCCAGGGAAACUUGGGCUAAUACCGGAUAAGUCCGUAAGGAGGAAGAUUUAUCGCCAAAAGAUCGGCCCGCGUCUGAUUAGCUAGUUGGUGAGGUAACGGCUCACCAAGGCGACGAUCAGUAGCUGGUCUGAGAGGAUGAUCAGCCACAUUGGGACUGAGACACGGCCCAAACUCCUACGGGAGGCAG